AGCAGCGUGGCUCAGUGGAAAGAGCCUGGGCUUCAGAGUCAGAGGUCACGGGUUUGACUCCCGGCUCUCCCA
rnacentral:tRNA from 1 species